AUAUGAUAAUUAGGCCAGUUCUAAUUUGUCGCAAUGUAUUAGAAUCGAAUUGCACAUAGCCCGCAUAAUAAUAGCUGUGACUCGAAAUCGGUUGAACCAUUUCUAAAAUCAAACAUGAAUAUUUAAGAUAGAAAAGAAAUAUUAAUUACAGCCAAGAAACGUUAAAUUCGGAUAUAUCAGGCCAGUCGCACAGCAGAUUCCUAGCAAACUGUGGUAACUCUGUUAUAAUCUUGGGAUGAUCGCAGCGCUAUUCCUGGGUAUUAUCUUACAGGUGUCUGCUUUAUAAGCUGUCGAUGUGAGAUUAUGCGCCUACACAGACGUAACGGGAAAGGUUCGAUUCCGGAGAGAAAGCCUGAGAAAAGGCUAUCAGAUCCAAAGGAGGCAGAAGGCGCACAGCUGCCCACUUCAAGAACGAGAAGAGAGUGGCAAAAAAUUCCUAAAGAAAUCAUUUGAAAUGGCGUAAAUGAAAUAAAUACACUCUAAAUCCUUAACAAGGAUCAGUUGAGGGCAAGUUUGGUGCCGGAAGUUGCAGAACUCCUAAAUCGUAU
rnacentral:ncRNA from 1 species